UAUGUACUCCCUUCGUCCCAAAAUAUGUGACUCAAAAGUGACUCUAUUUUGUACUAUAUAGUACAAAAUAGAGUCACUUUUGAGUCACUUAUUUUGGGACGAAGGGAGUAUUUU
rnacentral:pre_miRNA from 1 species